rnacentral:misc_RNA from 1 species
UACGGAGGGUGCAAGCGUUGUCCGGAAUCAUUGGGUGUAAAGGGUGCGUAGGCGGGCGCCUAAGUCGGAGGUGAAAUCCUGCCGCUUAACGGUAAAAUUGCCUUUGAUACUGGGUUUCUUGAGUGCAGAAGAGGUCGGUGGAAUUCGUAGUGUGGCGGUGAAAUGCAUAGAUAUUGCGAAGAACAUCAGUGGCGAAGGCGGCCGACUGGACUGCAACUGACGCUGAGGCACGAAAGCGUGGGUAGCAAACAGG